GGGUGUGUGUGUGUGUGUGUGUGUGUGUGUGUGUUUGUGUGUGUGUGUGUGUUCCCGUUUGGACUGAGUGUUUCCCGUCGGAUCACCUGCAGAAACAUUAAGACUUCAAACAUUGGGUUAACGUUCCCGUCCAAACAUCGGAGGUUCCUCACAGAAACACACAGCUUUCAAAAAGACAAAACUCUGCAGCACAGGAACUCGAAAAGCUGAAGUCCUGCAGUGUAGAGUGAGUCAGUGUCUCCCCCUAGUGGUAAAAUAA